rnacentral:rRNA from 1 species
AAAUGAAUUGACGGGGACCCGCACAAGCGGUGGAGCAUGUGGUUUAAUUCGAAGCAACGCGAAGAACCUUACCAGCUCUUGACAUCUGAUGCAUAGCGUAGAGAUACGUGAAAUUCUUCGGAACAUCAAGACAGGUGGUGCAUGGUUGUCGUCAGCUCGUGUCGUGAGAUGUUGGGUUAAGUCCCGUAACGAGCGCAACCCUUAUUAACUAGUUGCCAGCAUUAAGUUGGGGACUCUAGUGAGACUGCCGGUGACAAACCGGAGGAAGGUGGGGAUGACGUCAAAUCAUCAUGCCCCUUAUGAGCUGGGCUACACACGUGCUACAAUGGAUGGUACAACGAGCAGCUAACUUGCGAAAGUAUGCGAAUCUCUUAAAGCCAUUCUCAGUUCGGAUUGCAGGCUGCAACUCGCCUGCAUGAAGCCGGAAUCGCUAGUAAUCGCGGAUCAGAAUGCCGCGGUGAAUACGUUCCCGGGUCUUGUACACACCGCCCGU